GAACGGGUGAGUAACGCGUAGGUAACCUGCCUGGUAGCGGGGGAUAACUAUUGGAAACGAUAGCUAAUACCGCAUAACAAUGGGUGACACAUGUCAUUUAUUCGAAAGGGGCAACUGCUCCACUACAAGAUGGACCUGCGUUGUAUUAGCUAGUAGGUGAGGUAACGGCUCACCUAGGCGACGAUACAUAGCCGACCUGAGAGGGUGAUCGGCCACACUGGGACUGAGACACGGCCCAGACUCC
rnacentral:rRNA from 1 species